GAUGAACGCUGACAGAAUGCUUAACACAUGCAAGUCGAUGGGGAAGUGGUGCUUGCACCAUGGCAACCAUGGCGGACGGGUGAGUAACGCGUAAGGGACUUACCUGCAGGACUGGGAUAACAGGGGGAAACUCCUGACAAGACCGGAUAAUGUCAUGGAGCUGCAUGGCUUUAUGAUGAAAGGAGACGCCUGCGGAGAGCCUUGCGUCCUAUUAGCUAGUUGGUGAGGUAAUGGCUCACCAAGGCGAAGAUAGGUAGCCGGCCUGAGAGGGUGGACGGCCACAAGGGGACUGAGAUACGGCCCUUACUCCUACGGGAGGCAGCAGUGGGGAAUAUUGGACAAUGGGGGCAACCCUGAUCCAGCAAUUCUGUGUGCACGAAGAAGGUUUUCGGAUUGUAAAGUGCUUUCAGCAGGGAAGAAGUAAGUGACGGUACCUGCAGAAGAAGCGUCGGCUAAAUACGUG
rnacentral:rRNA from 1 species